UAAGAUGUUGAUAUUCCAGUGUUUCUAAGGAAAGCAGUGAACACCUGGUCAUUUCAAAUAUGGCUUUAAGAUUGUGAUUCAGUAAUGCAGUAAUGUUAGCUUCCAAGUUCAGCCCACUUUGUUGGUUUUAUUAUUUUUUUUAAUGUUUAUUUUUGAGAGACAGCACACACAAGCAGGGGAAGGGCAGAGAGAGGGGGAGAGAAGAUCUGAAGCAGGCUCUGCACUGAAGCAGAGAGCCCAACACGAGGCUCAAACUCACGAACCGUGAGGUCAUGACCUGAGCCUAAAGUGGACGCUUCACUGACUGAGCCACCCGGGCGCCCCUGGUUGUUGGUUUUAAUGCAGUGUCGAGGGUGGAAGAAAGAUGGCUUCCAAAUUCUAAGUGGAGGAAGGGCACUGCUGGUCGCGUUAAGUCAUGAUGCUCGUUAAUUCACUUUUAUUCACCGAUUAUGCAAAGGUGUUUGUUGAAAUCUGGCUAGUAAAUUUCCAUUCCAUCUUCUCUCAUGGCAGACUAAUGCAAACUAAUUGAAACAUGUUACAAAUUUUAUGUUUUUUAACCAAGGACUUUAAAGCACUCAAACUCUUCACUUGGAAAGUUUUGAGCAAGUUAUAAAAGCAUCUCCAAGACUGUUUGAGCAACGUUUACAUGGUUCUUGGCCAAGAGCUGACCUAAGCCCAGCAACACUUCCAAACAUCCUUUUCUGAAAGGCCCUUUCCACAGGACUUGUCUGUAGUCUUGCCUUGGUUCCCCCACUUGGAGCCCUCUGCCCUCAGUAAUGGUGCAAGGGUGGAGUAGGUUCUGGUGUGCAACUCUGUAGCUAGCUGCCUGCUCUCCUGCCUGCUGCCUGCUGUAGACACAUGGUCUCACUGCCCGCCCCUUUCCCACAGCCCCUCGGGAUCCCAGAGGUUCUGGAGGGGAGCAGAGAGGAGCUGAAUGGCGAGCAUUAAAAAUAGCGCCAGUGACUCACCGCACUUUAUUGCUGCAGUGCCCUUUCCUCAGAACGACCAAGAUAGCCUGGACAAUCUGACAGGAUCUCACAGCCUGUGGACACGGCCAUAUCGGCUUCAUGCCGGGAUGAUCAGCAAGGGGAAACUCAUGGGGAGAAGACACUCCUUAGAGUUAGGUGUGAUUUCAUGGCAUGAAAGCCCCAAAGGGAAGGUGAAUCAAGAGACUGUGGAACUCUCCAAAGGCCGACAGCCCAUGCGUCUGGAUUCACCGUGCCCCGCAGCCCAGCAGGGCCCUGUGUGAUUACAAGCAGGCCAGGCCCUGGUCCACGAGGCAGAGAUUUUCAGCAUCGCUGGUUAAAAUAAAAACAGCUUCCUGUUGAUCAGAAGAGGCCAGUUAUCGGAAGAAUCUCAUUUCCUGAACAUUUUAAUUUUUGAGAUUUUACGGUGAUAAGAAAGCAAAUUAAUUUUCAAGGGUGUGUGCUGUGGCAAUUUCUCUGGGAAAUUACAUUUUCUGGGACAAGGUGUCCAUGUGGUCAUCUUUGGAUGGACAUAGAAGUAUCCCAGACAAAAUCGGGGACACCUCCCCGCCCGCCCCCCCCCCCCCCACCUUUGCCCACUGGCUCGAUUCUGGGACAACUGGUGCCUCUGUGAGGGCUGGGCUGCACUGAGGCCAGGUUGGCCAGAAGAGAUCAUUUGGUUCAGACUGUCCCCAUAAUCUUCCCUGCAGCAUAGAUGGUGAUUUUUCUUACUCCCCAGAUUCCAGAUCCUCUCAGUAACUAGCUUGGCAGUCUACAUGAUGGGCAGUAACAGAGAGGAGUGAAUGCGUCAGAAAGUGAGGCCAACCCGAGGCUUGGGAAGGCCCUGGGUGGGUGGGGACCUGUGCAAACCCAUGCGUGGUCACCUCUGUGGCUUCAGGACUAGCAGGCACCAGCCACAAAGUCCCAUCUUGGUCCCAUUCAGAGUCUUCUAGAAGGUUCUAGCAUUUUCUGCACAAGGCAAGCACAAGCACCAUAAUCCUGUGGUUUAAUGGGGUGAGCACAGCUGAUGCUGGGGCAGCUUCUCCCUCAGGGAGGGCCUUCCUCCAUAUUCACUGGUAGGAUCAGACCUCAGUGAGCUCAGGUCCUCAGAGCACAAAAAGAAAUUAUUUUUCAUCUAACGUGUUUGGAAACUAUUCCUCGUACAGAAGCACACAGAGCCUUCAAAGGCCACAGACCUAACACUGUUUCGGACACUUUGGAAGCCAAAGAAGCUUUUCCAGAUUUUGAGGCUGUGUGUAAAGGCUGUCACUCUUCCUACAGCUUGUGGUUCAAAGAUUCUCCCCUUUCAAUCUUUCCUCUUUCGGCUUCUUCCCUCAUCAGAUCCCUUUAUUCCCCAACUGUGACAGCCUGGUCUCCGCCAAAAGCCUCACUCCAGCUGUGAACUUGGAGGGAGGUGCAGAAACCAUGUCCUCUGAGCAGAAGUCCCGGGAUCCCAUUGCCCUCCAGAUCUCUGGGGGGCCAGUGGCUUUUACGUUUUGUUCACAGUGUCCAUGACCCAUCCCCACCCUGACACUAAUACCCACACUGUCAGGGGCUCCAGGAGAAGACAGAAGAGAAGCAUGACGCUUGGAGCCUUGACGUCCUGUCUCUGACGCCAUCUCUGACUGCCGGCUCUCUUGCCAGCUUCCCCACACUGGCAUUAACACCCUGCUCUUCUCCAGACACCAUCGAAGACCUGAGCUGGAGACCACGCCAAACAAUUCCACGGCAAAUCCAGCCGGCGCUCUGGGACUGUGCUGUGCGAUCCAGGCUCCACUGGCCACGUGUGCAGACUGAGCACUUGAAACGUAGCUACUGUGCAUGGAGAUAAGUAUAAAAUACACAGCGGACUUUGGGCACUCAGCAUAAAAAGAGAAUGUAAAAUGUCUCAUAAUGUUUAUAUUGAUCACAUUUUGAAAUGAUGCUAUUUUUAUAUAUGGGGUUAAAUAAAAUAUAUUAAAAUGAGCUUCA